rnacentral:rRNA from 1 species
GGUAAGUACGUGCCAGCAGGGGCGGUAAUGCGUAGGGUGCAGGCGUUAAUAGGAAAGACCGGGCGUAAAGCGAGUGUAGGCGGGUCGGAAAGAAAGAUGUGAAAGCCCAGGUCUCAACCUUGGAACUGCAUUUUUAACUGCCGAGAUAGAGUAUGUCAGAGGGGGGUAGAAUUCGAUGUGUAGCAGUGAAAUGCGUAGAUAUGGGGAGGAAUACCGAUGGCGAAGGCAGCCCCCUGGGAUAAUACUGACGCUCAGACACGAAAGCGUGGGGAGCAAACAGGAUUAGAUACCCUAGUAGUC